rnacentral:other from 1 species
AUUAACCUGAAAUGCAUGAGAAUUCCUGUUAUUUUGAACCUACAUUUACUUUAAACGGGACUCCUAUAUUAUCACAUGGAUGUCAGGCCUCCGGGCGAAAGCCUAAGCAGUGGAAGGCAGAAGUGUGUUUGCGGUAACCCACCUGGCGCUUGCUAGGAGUCAACUUACAGGGUUCGGCAUUUUGGGGGUUCA